rnacentral:rRNA from 1 species
CCCUUAGAUGUCCUGGGCUGCACGCGCGCUACACUGAUGUGUUCAAUAAGCACCUAACCUACUCCGAAGGGACUGGGUAACCUUUGCAAAGCACAUCGUGAUGGGGAUAGAUUAUUGCAAUUAUUAGUCUUGAACGAGGAAUUCCUAGUAAGCGCAAGUCAUCAGCUUGUGUUGAUUACGUCCCUGCCCUUUGUACACACCGCCCGUCGCUCCUACCGAUUGGGUGAUCCGGUGAAUACUUCGGAGUGUGAACUCUACAGUUUCUGUUUUGUUCGCGCAAAGUUGAAUAAACCUUAUCACUUAGAGGAAGGAGAAGUCGUAACA